GAGAGAGAGAGAGAGAGAGAGAGAGAGAGAGAGAGAAAGAUAGAGAGAGAGAGAGGAAGACGAGAUUUCUUUCCUUUUCCACUUGUAAAAGCGAUCGUUUGUCGAAGUAUUUCCGUCACGAUUCUUCGUUGAAAUUUUACGCGAUCUACUCUGUCACGUGACCCGUUCCUUUGCCCUUUACGUAUCGAACGAAUCAAUUGAAUUUCGAAUAAAAAUAAAAAAAAACACACACACACACAAAGAAAAAAGAAAAAAUGAGAAAGAAAAGAAGAAAAAAUAAAUGAAAGGAAAGAAAAGAGAAGUAACGAAGAAAUCUAUGUGGGAGGGAAACGUUAGCGUGACGUCGUUCGAGGAUACGUGUUUUAACAUAACUCUUAAGGCGAAAAUGAUAACGUGCUUAAAGAAGAAAAAGAAACAAAAAAGGAAGAGAAAGAAAGGAAAAUAAAUAAGAAACGAUCCAUAAAAAAACGUAGUAGAGAAGAUUAGCUCGCGUGUGCGUAAACCUGCGAGAGAUUUAACGAGCCGACGAUUAUCGCGAUUAUACGAGUGGGUUCGAGUGAAGAAGAAUGAGAGGAAGUGAAACGCUUAGUCUACGACAAGAGAGGAAGAAAGAAAGAAAGAAAGAAAGAGAAAGACAGAGAGAAAGAGAGAGACAGAGAAAAAAGAGAGAGAGAGAGAGAGAGAACGCUGCGGAAUAGGAGGAUGAAGAAGAGUAGGGUGUUGGCGGCUUGAACGGGGGUGGUUUAAUGGCGCGUAUCCAGCAUCCGGGUGACGUGUUCAGCGGUGCUUGUACGUUGAAAAUCGUGGGGAUUCGUGAGGAACGAAAAAUAAGAGAAAAGGAAGAGAAGGGAUAGGGAAGGAAAACACGGAGAAGGAUGAGAAACGAAGAGUAAGAAGCGAAGGAAGAUGGAAAGAGUCUGUGAAAGAUCAAGAGGUGA